AAUCACUAAUUCCACUGCCAUC
rnacentral:ncRNA from 2 species